rnacentral:lncRNA from 1 species
GGGCCAGCGGCCUCACACCCUCCUUCCUCUCCCCGCAGGCACCGCUCCACCGAGCCCGAGCCCAACUCCCAGCCACCAUGCUUCUACUCUUGUUGGGGAUCCUGUUCCUUCACAUCGCGGUGCUAGUGUUGCUCUUCGUCUCCACCAUCGUCAGCCAAUGGCUCGUGGGCAAUGGACACAGGACUGAUCUCUGGCAGAACUGUACCACAUCCGCCUUGGGAGCCGUCCAGCACUGCUACUCCUCAUCUGUGAGCGAAUGGCUUCAGUCUGUCCAGGCCACCAUGAUCCUGUCUGUCAUCUUCAGCGUCCUGUCCCUGUUCCUGUUCUUCUGCCAGCUCUUCACUCUCACCAAAG